GGGGCCCCGCACACGCGGGAGCACAUGUUUAAUUUUAAACACAGCGAAGAGCCCUUCCACGUCUCGACACACCCUUGACCCACGUUGAGAAUUAGUUUUCCCUUUGGGGGCCAAAGUGACAGGUGGUGCAUGGUUGUCGUCAGCUCGUGUCGUGAGAUGUUGGGUUAAGUCCCGCAACGAGCGCAACCCUUGAUGUUAGUUGCCAUCAUUUAGUUGGGCACUCUAACAAGACUGCCGGUGACAAACCGGAGGAAGGUGGGGAUGACGUCAAAUCAUCAUGCCCCUUAUGACCUGGGCUACACACGUGCUACAAUGGGAGAUACAAAGAGUUGCGAACUCGCGAGAGUAAGCUAAUCUGAUAAAGUUUUUCUCAGUUCGGAUUGUAGGCUGCAACUCGCCUACAUGAAGCCGGAAUCGCUAGUAAUCGCGGAUCAGCACGCCGCGGUGAAUACGUUCCCGGGCCUUGUACACACCGCCCGUCACACCACGAGAGUUUGUAACACCCGAAGUCGGAGAGGUAACC
rnacentral:rRNA from 1 species